AGAAUGCCAAGGAGAAGGCUCUGCAGAGCAUCUCCACCAUGUCCUCGGCUCAGAUCGUCUCAGCCACCGCUAUACACAGCAAGCUCCUGCCUGGAAUAGUACGGGCCAGCUUCCCCAGCAAUGCACAGCUGUGGCAGGGGAUGAUUCCUGGAGGACAGUCUAGCUCCGCCUCAGAAGAUAUCAAGCCGUUCUCUCAGCAAGCCUACUCCGUGCAGACAGCGGGGACCACCACAAUCUCAGG